rnacentral:rRNA from 1 species
UACAGAGGUGGCAAGCGUUGUUCGGAAUUACUGGGCGUAAAGGGUCUGUAGGUGGCUUGCUAAGUCAGACGUGAAAUCCCUCAGCUUAACUGGGGAACUGCGUCUGAUACUGGCAAGCUUGAGUGCAGGAGAGGAACGCGGAAUUCCAGGUGUAGCGGUGAAAUGCGUAGAUAUCUGGAGGAACACCGGUGGCGAAGGCGGCGUUCUGGACUGCAACUGACACUGAGAGACGAAAGCCAGGGGAGCAAACGGG